rnacentral:lncRNA from 1 species
UUUUUUCCAAAAAUUAUAACUCUAUGAGCUAAAAUUGACAUUCCAAGCAGAAACAGGAAAAUAAUGAAUAUCCGUACACUCAAAACCCUUAGAAAGGUCAAAACCACGCCAAAAACUUUAGCCAAACCACACGAACUUUCGAGCAUCGCCAAAGACCAUGAUCUAUAGACUCCGUCUAAGAAAAACAAAGCGAACAAUAGUUAGGCACAAUAAGACUAUGUUUAAUAGCCCAUCAAGCAUGGAUAGUCAACCAUGCAAAGCUAGCCAUCAAACAAUGGAGGGACAAUGACAUUUUGAAGCAAAAGCCAAAUUCUCAGUAACAUGACUGUGAACUGACGGCUUCCAAAAGCGAACAUUAAAAUUAUCACCAAUAGGAAGAAGCAAAAUAUCAUAAACAAUAUCAAGAUAUAGAUCUGAAAAAAACAUCAAGAAAUGCUAGACUCCAUUAUAGAAAUAAUCAACAGCAGAUUACUGGAGCUACACAUGCAUAAAAGUAGGAACAUUGAGUUUACCAAUAAGUCUAGCCAAUCGUCCUGCCAAAAAGAAACUGUAGAUCCAUUGCUGAAAUAGAAAUUUUAUUGAAAAAAGAAAAAAUCGAAACCUUUGAAAGCACAGAGCGCAAACUAAGGGAAGAGUCGUCAAAAAGAGGGCUCGAAAACAAAAAACGAAAAACAACAAGACAAAACGAAACGGGAAGGGGCGGAGGGUCAACCUCAGAGGCUCCGGUCGAACCAUUGUCCCUAGGAAACUGGCCCCCGAAACCGAAGAAGGAACCCAAAGGUGAAAAACACAGAAAAACCCAAUAACAGCACAGCUAACAGCUGAAGAAAGGAAGCGUCAAAGAAACAGAUGCCCAAGAAAAGCAGGGGGCAGAAACUCCAUAAACGACCAAAAGAACCCAAGAAACCGCCCUAAGCACAAGCCAACCUCCAGAAAGCAGGAGCCAGAAACGCCAGCCCAAAUCCAGAAACCUGCCAACCAAAGAAGAAAACAAUAGCAGCUAAGCAAAACAAGGAAAAAGCAAAAAAAACCCACAAACGAGCCAGACUACAAAAACACCCCCGAAAGGAACAACCCUUCCAAACAAGACCAAAACAAGCCUAGGCAUCCCACUCAAGAACGAAGAAGGAACAACCGUGGUCCUACCACCCAAACAUGUCUCAAACCAGACCCAGUCCCUCAAGAAACUACAAUCCCCAAGAAGUGUGCAAGGCUAAGGCUUUGAAAUGCAACAUCAAGAUGAAAUAAAUUAAUCAGAUCAGACCCAAUUCUCCGCUAGAAGUGAAUUUCCUAAUGCAAUUACCUUUAUAAUCAAAUCUCAUUCUUUUAUAAUAUGAUCAAAAACUUUGCUUUCAACAGAUAAGCCAACUUCGCGAGAUAAAAACAUUUGGGGGUACCCAAAGAAAUCCCGCGUGGUUUCCCAUGCUCAUAAUGAAAAGCCUAUCAGAGGAGCAGAGACCAUAAGCAAAACAGAACCAAAGUUCAACCAACCAAAACUAACCAGAGAAAAUAUAUUAGGCUUAGUGCAAUGAAAACACUCCUCCUAGCAUCUACCGGACAAAUCACGUCAUAACUUGCUCAUCAAGAUGUUGCAACCAAAAUAUUAAACCUUUUACAUAAAAUGAGAACUCCAGGUAAAAGAGAAGCCAGGGCAACCACCCAAGACAAACACAACCCAGAACCACGAAAGAACCAACACAGAGCAAGAGGGACACGAGAAAGCAAGCAAGACCAAGAAGGAAGGACUAAGCCACAGAAAACAAACAGUAAAGAAAGCCCACUCCCAAAGCAAAGGAAAACAAAAGUAAACAGAACGGAACUUCCCUGGAAAAAGCAGAACCCCUAAGGUACGAUCCGGACAUAAGGAAGGAGCCGCGUGUCAUCACGUACAAGCUACAAAAUCUCAGGUAUCGGAAAGGGCCAAACUCUCUCCUCAGCAACGGAAGAGGAUAUGAAAUCCGCAACUCGAUUCCCUUCCCU